rnacentral:rRNA from 1 species
AAAAACAUGGUUUUUUGUUUUAUAUAAAAAAUCUGGCCUGCUCAGUGAGUUUUAAAUAGCUGCAGUAUUUUGACUGUACAAAGGUAGCAUAAUCACUUGUCCUUUAAUUGAGGUCUGGAAUGAAUGGUUUGAUGAAAAAUAUACUUUAUUUAUUUUUAAGAAAAAAUUUAAUUUUUGAGUAAAAAAGCUUGAAAAUUUUUUUAUAGGACGAGAAGACCCUAUAGAGCUUUAUUUUAUUAUUUUUGUAUUAUAUUAGGUUAUAUAUUUUUAAUAAAAAUGGUGAAAUUUUGUUGGGGUGACAAAAAAAAUAUAAUAACUUUUUUUAAUUAUUACAUUAAUUAAUGUAUUUUUGAUCCUUUUUUUGGAAAAAAGAAUAAGCUACCUUAGGGAUAACAGCGUUAUUAUUUUGGAGAGUUCAUAUCGAUGAAAUAGUUUGCGACCUCGAUGUUGGAUUAAAAUAAGAUAUAGAAGUAGAAUGUUAUAUUCUUGGUCUGUUCGACCUUUAAAUUUUUACAUGAUCU